rnacentral:lncRNA from 1 species
CUCAGAGUCAGUAGUAGGAGAUGUGACAACAGAAGCAAGAGUUUGGAGGUGAGCGGAAUACAGGCAACUUCUAGAUUCCGAAAAAGAUAAGGAAACAGAUUCUCCCCUGCUUAGGGGACCGCUCCCAGGACAGCAGGCUAUGAACCCAAGACAAGACCUGGAACAGCCAGCAAAGAAAGAUCGCUAACCUGGGAGGAAGUGUGCACCUGGGCCUCACCAGACAGCACCUCACUCCUGCAGUGAUGCAUCGUAUAAACCAGGAGACCUCUAUUUGCUUUCGAGAGUUUGUCUCACUUAUUAGUGGAAUGCAUCUUUUACCAUCAGUGUCACUGUUUCCAGAGAUAGUGGCAUGGGAGGAAAAACUGAAGAAGCAGCUGAAGACUCGAUGCCAGGGGCAACUCUUUCAUGGUGAGAAAAUGGAGAUUGUAGCAUUUCAGUUGGGCACUCGAAGUUAUAAACAGCUGGUGAGUAGUCAAGCUGGACUCAGAACAGAUCCUCUCCCUUCCAGUCCCAGGAUGAGCAACAGCAGACCCAGCCCUGGCAUGACUGGGCUCUGGCAUCAGAGGGGCUGGGGGGAGCCUCAGAGCCUCCCCAGAGCCGCAGCUGCCCCUCCUCACUGCCAUGUUGAUUUUAGCCUCAGUUUCCCUGCUCAGCCCUCCCACUUCUUGCUGACUGGAGCCCUGUCCUGA